UCGCCCGCUGCAAAGGAAUGUAAGGAACGAAGUCAGCUGAAAAGAGGGCAUUACUUUCCUCCCGACUUUAUUGCGUCUCCUACUGGUCUACUGGGGGGUGGGGGGCAGCCUGGCAUUCUGUGUGAGAGCUAGGAUGAUUAGAAAGGCCUUCCCCUAGCUACCUCACGCCUUUACUGAGAUGGCUAAGGUUGUGCGUUACUUAACUUAAAAUGUCUUGCUUGUGGCUGGCCCUGGAGGGAAGGCUUAAAGCGACAGAUUACUUCUAGCCAAGCCCAUAUUCGACCCUUUUAUUAGCUGGACAUCCCUGGCCGCUGCCCUCCAUGCUGUACAAUGGACCUGAUGAAGAAUUCAAGGCAGUCCGGUACCUAUGACAGGCGCAACAGCUGCUGCCCAUUAGCUCUCCUAGGCCAGCUCCCUUGGAACCUCCUCCUCUGUGGUCAUUUAACUUUAAAAGUAUUUCGGUACAUUUAGUUACACCUGUUUCGUACCUUGGUUUACCAUUUCAUCAGCCUUCUCUAACCACUAGGGAAAGUCCCAUCCUAGGAGACUGUAACGACCUAGGCGUGCACAUCUGAAAACUAAUUCUGUCUCCUGCUUGUCACCGAAGUGCUGGGUCCCACCGACAGGAGAAAGGAAAGUAUCCAUGGACUUGUGAAAGGAAAACAGCAAGAUUAAGGACUCUGCCUUGUCUCAAAAAUAGAUCUCCCUUGUGUACACAUCGUCCUUUACCCCUCCCCUAAUAACACUGUAGAAACCUUGCUUUCAUAGGUCCUACAUCAAUAACCAGGAGAGUGUACAAACUGCAAGAUGGUUGUCCCUCUUUAUCUACCAGGCACCUAAGUUAAAAACCUAAUAACUGCUGACCGUUCUUUGCUUGCCUGCUUUGUCUGUACAUGAGCGCAUGUGGUACAUGUGUGUGUGUGUGUUUGUGUGUGCGCAAGUUAUGCACGCACAGAGGCCAGAGUGUCCUGUUCUGUCAUUCUCUUACAGUAUUGCUUUAAGACAAGGUUUCUCACUGAACCUAGAACGAGACUGGCAGCCAGCCGCUCCAGCAAUCUUCCCCAGCCCCAGCGCUGGAAUUAAGUGGGCAAACAGCCAGGCCUGGCUUUUCAAGUGAGAACUGGGAUUUGAACUCUCCAUGCUUUCGCAGCCAGCAGUCUCCCCCACCAAGCCAUCUCGACAGCCCCUGCUCGGUGCUGUUUUCUUUGCGGCUGUUGUUCUGCUUGUUUUAUUUUUGUUUGUUUGUUUGUUCGUGUGUUUUUCUGUUUUCAGACCGGAUCUUCCUAUCUAAAGAAGUCCGGGCUAGCCAUAACUGUGGCCCAAGUAGUCCUGGACCUAAGAUGUCUCUGCUUUAGCUCUCCAGUUUUGAAAUUAUAGCAUCUCGGUAAUGGCAGGGCCGUGGCCUCCAGCUAUUAUAGCAGCACCUAGAAUUGUACAUCAUGCUUCUGAGAAGGUGCAAUAUGUGGCACGCUAACUCAGGUAAAUAUAAACACAUCUGAGAUGAAGUCAGAGACCCUCAGCAGACUGCCAGCGAAGGCUCCGGAUCUGUCCACAGAGUCACUGGUACCACUUCUGUGCUGGCCACCCGGGCUCUCCUCUGAGGUUUUAAAAUUCAGGGUGAGGGGAGAGCAGAAGAAGAUGAGGGUUCCACACUUGCCAGAGCCCAUAAUCCACAUAAAGGUAAGACCGGCGCUGCAAAGAACCUUCCGGGGACAUCUAAGACGUGAAUAAAGACAGCCGGGUUAAAGGCUAAACUCUAGCAAAGACAACAGAACUUCAACGAUGUGCAGUUCUGUGAAACUACCAACACAUUGAAGACAUUUUUUGAGCAUGUUUGCUCACUACUGUUUCACUAGAAACAGUAACAGAGCUUAGUCUGUUACAAAAUCAGGAAAAUCAUGAGUUUACAUUGGGUAAUAUAUUGCCCAAUGCUUAGUAAUAAAUAUUCUGAUGAAUAAAAGGGAAACAUAACUCUAAAAUUUCCAAGGUAGUUCUCCCUUUCCCUCCUCCUCACCCCUCUCCUCCAUCUCUCUUUGCGUGUGCAUGAGUGUGUGUGUGUGUGUGUGUGUGUGCGCGUGUGUGUGUCUCCUCCCUUCUCCUUUCCCCCUCUCCCUCUCUCCUGUGUGUGAUGAGUGUUCUUGUCCAAAGAGAAGCCUUUCAACUUCAAAAGACGUCAUGAGAUGUGUUUUGGAAUCACUUCCCAAGUAACUGGGAGGGGUUCAGCCUCUGCCUCUAAAGCUGCCUGAGGAAGGGUCCCUAGCUUUAUCUCGAUGCUCAUUGGAAAGACUGCUGUGAUGCCCUUGGGGAUUAAGGAGAGAGAUUUCAGAUGUGGAACUUCAAGGCAGCAAAGUAGAGCUGAGACCUGGCUCAGGUGGUGAAGUACUUCCCUCAAAAGCAUGGGGACCAGGGUUCAUAUCCUUAGCACUCUCCUAAAGGCUGGGCGGGGAGCUACAUGCCAAUCAUUCCAGCUAUCUUAAGGCAUAGGUAGGCAGGUCUCUGGAAAUUUAAAGUUAACUUGGUCUAUGUAGCAAGUUCUGGGCCAGGAUUACCUAAAGACCCUGUCUCUAAACAAACAAACAAAUAAGUAAAUAUAAGGUCAUAUUCUGGGUACUGGAGGCUACUGGGUAGAUUUUGGCAUGUAAAUAGGGGCGGGGGCGUGGUUUAACCUUGAACCAUCUUCUGGGAGUUGACAGAAGGGGUUGGAAAGACGUGGAAUGUGGCAAGAGGUGAACAGAGCUAGCAACGGGUCUGGAUUUUAUUCCGUGGGUAGAGGGAAUUGUGAAGGGGUCUGCGUGGGAUCCACCUAUGGUUUCAAAAUCAUGCUGUCAAUUUCCCAAUCGCCUCUUGAGCAUCAAAGAAAUUUCUCAACUUGCCGGCCUUUUGGAGGAAUUCGCAACUGCUCCUAAUUGCCUUUCUGUCCGUGACUUGAGAAAUUUGCUGAAACACUGUUUUCUGGUCAUUGUUUUCAAUUCUGUCUUAUAAGUUCGUAGGGCAGAAUACUCAUUUCUGUCUACUCUCCUCUAAUUUCCUUCUCCAUGGGUAAAUGAAGUGAAUUUAAUUAAUGGCUUUACACCACAUACCCAAGUAACCUUAUGGGGGGGGGGGGGGCAAAUUUCAGGCAUACACUUUGUCCUCAGUUUUUUUGGGUAAAAAGUGAUGAUUUUUAGAGAUUGUGUCAUGACUUUUAAAAAAAAAAUCAAUAUUCAUUCCAGAAUUAUAGUGGUUCCGGGGUAUGGUUUGAUUUCUAACAUUGUUCGGAUUUUUUUUUCCCAUGAAAAAAAAAUCUUUUUGUAAUAGUUCCUACAAUUUUUAAAUUUUAUUGACAUAGGUGGAACUUCGUAACUUAACAACUGUUUAUUUUUGAUUUUCAAACUAUGGAUUCUGGCUUUAAGCUCCACUCUUGAUGUAUGUUUUGAACUUAGGCCUGGAGAAGUCCAUACUGGCCUUAAAUUUGUUAUGUAGCCUCCACCGCCAAAGCUCUGGGGUUACAGGUGCACGCCUCUACGGCUGUCGGUUUGCCCUCAUUUCUAACCAAAUAGGUUUCCUUUUUACCUGUUUGAUAACAUUGCAGUUCUGGACUGGGAAAGAGAGGCUGUUGGUUGAAACGCAGAAGAUAAAGAGAUAAACUAUUACAAUCCAGUAGUCACCCUUCAAUUCCAGAUCGCAGGAGAUAGGAAAGAAAACACAACCAGCCACGUCCAAGACACCGUAAAGCAGAAGGAAGUGCUCCAACCAAGCCGCACAAGGCUGUGCAGGCAUGGGCAACACUGAUGGAGUUCUAUGGGGUGAACCUAGGACCGCACGAAGUGAGCCCAGCCAUGUCAGGAUUACCAGCUUAACGGGCCCAUCAUUGCUCACAGUAUCCCCAUAUUAUCUCCCUUUUAUUUGUUUCCUGUCCCUUUCUGGAUGAGGACUUUUCAGUCAUGUGAAACUGGCUGAAUCACAGCGCAUGCUUCACGAUACCUGCGGCUGAUGCCAGCCAUGCUGCCGUGAAAUGUCCUGCUGGAUUCUUUUCCCUGACUGAGAAACUGGCCCUGUCAUCUCUCAUGGUACUUACAUCUGAUCACAUAAACACUUUCUCAUUUGUGAACAUUUUCGUUCAUUAUGAACCUAAGUGUGACAGUGGACACAAAAUUAAAUUUUUAUGUGAAUACCUCAAUGAAUAUCAUUCAUAAACCCAAAGGAAUUCUUCAAAAUGUCAACAGUUCUCUUUGAAUAAAUUACUUCCUUUUCUUCUGGAACUUUCCCAUUUGCCCCCAUACCAUCUAUUCUGCUUGCCUGAUGAUUUCCAUGUACAAUGAAAAUUAUUUUUCAACUUAAAAGUAAUACUUGAUUAUUGAUUUCAUUUUAAACAACAUAAAAUCUGGGAUUCUUUUUCAGAAAUUUACUCCAUAGCACUUUUAUGAAUUUUAUGUAAACUCCCUAAAACCUUUAGUUGUUUGUUCCACGGUAUUCAAAAAGAAAGCACUGAGCUCCCACAUCCAAGAUACCAUGCACACAGUACUCGACGGUGUUUAAAAUCCAUAUAUCUUCAAGUUACACUAAAGAUCAUCUUCCUGCAAUUGCUUUAUAAUGUCUUAGCUAUUUUUCAAAAUCAUUUGUUCCUUUUAAAUAUUCACUCCCGAAGGAACGUCUGUGACAUGUAAGAAAUAAAUACAGACAAGCACAGUUUCUGGAAUUCGAUGCUCACAAAAUAUGAAAAUAACAUAAUUCGCGUUCAAAACUUAAGCACCGUGUUUUAAGUGUGUUAUUUGAAAGAGUUCAAGGAAAUCUAAUCACAAUGAAAAAGUCUAUUCUAGUUCUUAAUUUCACUUCAGUUAUGUGCAAGUUCAAUUACUAGAUUCUGAGAAGUCCAGUUCAAGGAGCUGACAAGCUGACUCGUAGGUAAAGGCGCAUGUUACUUGGGCCUGACAACCUGAGCUCCAUUUCUGGAACCUACAAAGCCCUGACUUCAGGACGAAAUUCUCUCACUUCCACAUACAUGCCAUUGCACACAUGCACCCUACCCAGUACAUACAUCAUGCACACAUGUGCCCACACUAAUAAAGCAUAAACCUUUUAAA